UUAUUAAAGCACACUCACUCUAACGGCGUACCUUUUGCAUGAUGGGUCAGCGAGAAAAUGGGAACAGCGGCUUAAGCCAUUAAGUGUAGGCACUUUCCAGAGGUGGAAUCUUCGAGUUCUUCUUAUUUGACCCGAAACCGAUCGAUCUAGCCAUGAGCAGGUUGAAGAGAGCUCUAACAGGCCUUGGAGGACCGAACCCACGUAUGUGG